UUUUUACUGGAAAUGAUUGCACUGUAAUAGAGUUUCUGAUUCCAUUUUUUUUUCGUAACCAGAAAUUCUUUUGUGAAUGUUUCAAACUCUGGGUGCUACUCAAUUCCUUUGGUGUUGAAAGUUUUCCUAAGAAAUUCCCAGGGAGCCUGCUAUGGGGCAGAAGGAACGUCUAGGAAUGCCUUUGGAGUGCUUCCCUGCCUCCAUUUCCCUGUUUUGCCUUUCUUUACCCUGCUGGAGCCCCUUUCUUGUGCAAAGACAACGAGAAGAGAAAGGAUGCUGGAAGGUUGGCAGAUUAGGAAGUCUCUGCUUUCUCCCCUUGAGUCAGUAACUGAGCUGCUGUAUGUGCCUGGGAUAAGCACCUCAGGUGUGGAAUGGACAGGGCAGUGAUUCUCUUAGGGAAAAAUCAGAGACUCCAGGAAAUUGGCAAAAGAUUGUUGCCAGCAUGGGUCAGGACAAAGAGGAGAAGACUUCAUUCACCGUAGUGAACCUAAGGACUACAAGUGCUGUUGAUGCUCUAUAAAUGAGGGGGCAAAGCUCCCUAUUGUUCUAUCCCAAUUUUCAUUACACCUAAUGACAAGACACUUCCCUUCCCUUCAGUCUAUCAUUCUAUCAGUAUAUUUUUCUUGUCAUUUAAUCAUUAAAGUUUUGUUCAAUUCUCU
rnacentral:lncRNA from 1 species